UACGGAGGAUCCGAGCGUUAUCCGGAUUUAUUGGGUUUAAAGGGUGCGUAGGCGGCCUUUUAAGUCAGCGGUGAAAGUCUGUGGCUCAACCAUAGAAUUGCCGUUGAAACUGGGGGGCUUGAGUAUGUUUGAGGCAGGCGGAAUGCGUGGUGUAGCGGUGAAAUGCUUAGAGAUCAUACAGAACACCGAUUGCGAAGGCAGCUUACCAAGCUACUUCUGACGUUGAGGCACGAAAGCGUGGGGAGCAAACAGG
rnacentral:rRNA from 1 species